AGAGGAAGCUAGGGACAGGAAAGGGCUGGGCUGGGGUCAGAAGUCAGAGGCUGAUGGGAGCAGGUCGUCUCCUGUGCAGCAUGGAUGGAGACACAGGAGCGUGUCUCUGCUCUGGGUCCAGGAGUUGAAGAGACAUCAGUGUAUUGUCACGCAACUUGAAUAAGAACAGUGAACUGUGGGGUGGUCUUUGAAUCACCUCUUCUCACACAUUGAUCAGCAAACAGCUGAAGAUUGGAAAUGCAGGCGAGUAAUGGAGAAGCCUGGGUCACCGCAUGAGAACAGGCGGAUUCACCAUUUGGUCACUGACUCUCUACUGGACACGGAGGUGCCCGAUCGAAGGCAGUUAUGUUGCAGAAGUGUCUGAAACUCUGUGUGAUGUAGUGGUGGGUUAAUAACUAUCACGAUUUUGAAAUAGUUAUGAGUAUAGAUAAUAUUUUGAGGUACUUGCAAUAACUACAAUUUGAUAUAAAAAUAUCUGUGAUUCCUAUUGGUGAGAAAGCCACAGAUACUGCUAAUACUUCAAUCCAUAAAAAAGGAAAUGGUAAAUUUUCAUUAGAUGUUAGUGAAAGUAAAUAUAUAUAUAUAUAUAUUUUUUCCCAUCCAAGUUUACGGGUCCCUGAAUUCUGAGGCCCAGGUUAAGAGGCUUCCUCUUAGGACAAUAUCUGAAACACACCAAGUGUUUUAUCUUUGUCAUCAUCAUCCCAGGCCAGGGGACUCCCAGGACUUUGGAACUGGACAGAAUCAGUUCCACUUGCUGUGUGACUGAGCCCAACCCCUACACCUUUCUGAACCUGUUUCUUCCUCUCUAAAAGAGGAACACCUAGACCUUAGUGCUGUGAGGAGGUCCUUUAAGCAUUUUGACAUCUGUAACAUGGGGUAGAUCUGAAUUAUUAUUGCUUUAAUUCUGUGAGAAGGGGCCCAGGAGACUUUUCCAGAGCCUGCACCUCCGACCCGGUCACCUAAUUCAGAAUCUCUACUAGCACCCCAAUACUCAGUCUUCAAAGCCUGUCACAAUCUUGCCUCUAACCCAGAGACCCACAUUCUGAAUUUGGCCCACAGAUGGCCAGCGCAGUGCAUGUGUUUUAGUUGUCAUCAUUUAAUAAUUUCACCUACAAACUGAGUUCUCUGGAAUUCAGCCAGCUCUGCUGACCCCCUCCCACCUUCACACGUGGCAUCAAACACAAGUGCAGAUCGAAGGCUACUUCCUUCAGGGGGACUCCAGCUCACCAGGUCCCUGCAGGCCUUGCUCCUUUGUUUGUGAACCAGUAGGCUCCAAAUUUGCAACAUGGCCCUCACCUCUCUGGCUCCAUCCUUUGCCUCACGUCCUCACACACUGCACUGUGUGUGUCCCUCCAACGCUCCUCCGUGCUGCAGCCUCCUAUAAUGUUUUUGCCUCUUCCUACAACAGCCUCCCUGUGGCACUCUGGGAAAGCCCAAUAAACAGAUCUGUCUCCGCCAUCCUGAUUUCAUCAAACAAAUACCCUGAGCUGGCACAAGAUACAGAGGCCGCUAGGGAGACCAGCGACACCCACCAUGCAAUUUCGACGCCUGACCCCUGGCUACUUCCGGGUGCUACAGAUGCAGGUGGCCGGGAAGCUAAAGGCAGAGCCCCGGAGUCCACUGGCUGGGGUUGUGGCUACACUGCUGGCUGUCCUCGGGCUGGGCGGCUCCUGCUAUGCUGUCUGGAAGAUGGUGAGGCAGCAGCGGCCGCCACAGGCC